ACACCAGGUAAGUUCCCAGGAAAGAGAGGUAGGUCCGGCGUGACCACUUAAUUACCAAGUCUUUCCUAGCCAGAGCUUACCUAGACAUGUACCUCCGCACUUGAUUCUAACCGCCAGAAUUCACCACAAGCCUCGAUACUCCAAUUGAACCAACUUCCCCUCCUACAAGCUUCUUAAACCAGAAAAUCUUUUCUGAUGUGGAAGAUCAGCCAAAGUUGCGACCACAGAGCAUACUAAGAUUCCCCCCUCAAG
rnacentral:lncRNA from 1 species